rnacentral:rRNA from 1 species
UAGGGAAUCUUCCGCAAUGGACGCAAGUCUGACGGAGCAACGCCGCGUGAGUGAAGAAGGAUUUCGGUUCGUAAAACUCUGUUGUUAGAGAAGAACAGCGCAUCGAGUAACUGUUAUGCGUGUGACGGUAUCUAACCAGAAAGCCACGGCUAACUACGUGCCAGCAGCUGCGGUAAUACGUAGGUGGCAAUCGUUUUCCGGAUUUAUUGGGCGUAAAGCGAGCGCAAGCGGUCAAUUAAGUCUGAUGUGAAAGCCCCAGGCUCAACCGGGGAGGGUCAUUGGAAACUGGUUGACUAGAGUGCAGAAGAGGAGAGUGGAAUUCCAUGUGUAGCGGUGAAAUGCGUAGAUAUAUGGAGGAACUCCAGUGGCGAAGGCGACUCUCUGGUCAGUAACUGAAGCUGAGGCUCGAAAGCGUGGGGAGCGAACAGG